GGACGAAGAAAACUAUGUCCCUCUCGCUGGUGCGGAACAAUUAUCUCAGGUGUUUGUAAAGGUACGACAAAGACAAAUAUAUAUUUGAGAUUGUGGUCAAAAGUAUAGGUGUUCCCUAUAAAAAUAUCACGGCAGGCCUUUAUCGGCCUAUCACGCACUGACGGUAAAAAAUAUCAACUCGGUGCGGGAGGAGGCCUAUUGUGGCCCGCCGUCCCAACAGGCUGUUGGCGGCCCGAUACCGCACAGAGCGCCCGCCUCGCCAGUUAGUGUUGGGCAAGCUAUCGGAACUGACGUACGUCACGUUUUUUUUAUUCCUUAAAAUUAAAGGCACGAUGUCAGGCAACAAAAGAAAGAUAAAUAUUUUGGAAAAUAAAUUAAUUUGCGGUGCAGAUAGUGAUAGUGACAGCAGUCAGGAGAUAUUUUCCUUCAAGAAAAAAAAAACCAAGCACAAGUGAGCAUAUUUACAGUUGCCCCACUGGAAGAAAAUUUCAUAUUCUCAAACCAGUCUCGUCUUUAAAUGAAACUAAUACCGGAAAUCAAGUAACACCUACGGCCGAUCAUAUCCUUGAGAUGAGCGGUAAACGGCGAAAUUGUGUAGGGUGCUAUGAAAAACUGCGGGAAACCAUGAAGAGUUCCGAGGUGAAAAGGAAAGUAAAAAAAAUUAAAACAUACUGCAGAAUAUGCAAGCAAAAUCUUUGUGCGAAAUGUUUUAAAGACAGCCAUUAAUAAAUAAUUAAAUAAACAAUUUUUAUUUCUUUACUUUAA